GUGCAAAUCGCGACUGGUUUUAGGGAUUAAAGUGCCAAAGUUAUAUCGUGGUCAUAAUAUCUGAUCGGACUAUUAUAUACUGAAUUAAAUUAUUUUUCAUUCACAGGACCCGAGCCCAAGCUUCUGGAAAUGCAAUGUGGAUGCGGUGAUGGUGGAGCCGUGGCGGGAUUCGGUGCCGUGAUCAGGGACUCUGAGGGAUGGGCGACUAUGACGUUCUCUGGUAUGCUUCAGGGUGGCUGCUCUCC
rnacentral:lncRNA from 1 species